GAUGAACGCUGGCGGCGUGCCUAACACAUGCAAGUCGAGCGAUUCUCUUCGGAGAAGAGCGGCGGACGGGUGAGUAACGCGUGGGUAACCUGCCCUGUACACACGGAUAACAUACCGAAAGGUAUGCUAAUACGAGAUAAUAUACUUUUAUCGCAUGGUAGAAGUAUCAAAGCUUUUGCGGUACAGGAUGGACCCGCGUCUGAUUAGCUAGUUGGUAAGGUAACGGCUUACCAAGGCGACGAUCAGUAGCCGACCUGAGAGGGUGAUCGGCCACAUUGGAACUGAGACACGGUCCAAACUCCUACGGGAGGCAGCAGUGGGGAAUAUUGCACAAUGGGCGAAAGCCUGAUGCAGCAACGCCGCGUGAGCGAUGAAGGCCUUCGGGUCGUAAAGCUCUGUCCUCAAGGAAGAUAAUGACGGUACUU
rnacentral:rRNA from 1 species